UACGAAGGGUGCAAGCGUUACUCGGAAUUACUGGGCGUAAAGGGUUCGUAGGUGGCUUGUUAAGUCAGACGUGAAAUCCCUCGGCUCAACCGGGGAACUGCGUCUGAGACUGAUGAGCUUGAGUGCAGGAGAGGAACGCGGAAUUCCAGGUGUAGCGGUGAAAUGCGUAGAUAUCUGGAGGAACACCGGUGGCGAAGGCGGCGUUCUGGACUGCAACUGACACUGAGGAACGAAAGCCAGGGGAGCAAACGGG
rnacentral:rRNA from 1 species